GACGAACGCUGGCGGCGUGCCUAAUACAUGCAAGUUGAGCGCUGAAGGUUGGUACUUGUACCAACUGGAUGAGCAGCGAACGGGUGAGUAACGCGUGGGGAAUCUGCCUUUGAGCGGGGGACAACAUUUGGAAACGAAUGCUAAUACCGCAUAAAAACUUUAAACACAAGUUUUAAGUUUGAAAGAUGCAAUUGCAUCACUCAAAGAUGAUCCCGCGUUGUAUUAGCUAGUUGGUGAGGUAAAGGCUCACCAAGGCGAUGAUACAUAGCCGACCUGAGAGGGUGAUCGGCCACAUUGGGACUGAGACAAGGCCCAAACUCCUACGGGAGGCAGCAGUAGGGAAUCUUCGGCAAUGGACGAAAGUCUGACCGAGCAACGCCGCGUGAGUGAAGAAGGUUUUCGGAUCGUAAAACUCUGUUGGUAGAGAAGAACGUUGGUGAGAGUGGAAAGCUCAUCAAGUGACGGUAACUACACAGAAAGGGACGGCUAACUACGUG
rnacentral:rRNA from 1 species